GUCUGGUCCUGAUGUACAACACAGAGUACGCAGGAUAUGACUGUGCCAACUUCCCAGGAGGCACGCUGGGUUUCUUCCCAUCUCUCCUACAGUGUCUGAAGUAUUCCUGUGCUGGAAUGGUCUGCAGAGAUCCUAAUGCCUGCUGGCUCAAGGCUUCAACUCAUAUCAUACAAAGCAAUUCACCAUCUACCUCAACGUACAUUUACUGGUAUACAAAGUGCCAGUAGUAGUCUCAUCGAGGCACUUCUUCAUAUGUCCAUAGACAACUUACUUCCAAGCAGAGGAAUUAAAGUUGCAGACAGCAUGAGAUCGUUGCAAGAUGUUCCAUAGUUAUUAAAAAGAUAUUCAGAAGACUAAUGCUUUACAGAGAUGCCAUAAAUAUUCAUCUUUUUUUCUGCACGCCACUAUAAACUACUGUUUAAGUGAUGAUUGUAAGUAAACUGUGUUUUAGAAGAACAGAUGACAGAUAUCAAAGUAUAUACACAGUAUAAAGGCUGAUUGAAAAACUAAACCAGAUAGCUGAGAGAGUAUUAGGAAAUCAUCUCUCUUUUUUUUUCUUUUAGCUAACUGUGGAAUCUGAAGUAUCUGAGCAAUCAGCUGGUGUCAAUAGUCAGUGCUGCCAGUACAGUUCUGCCAAGAGUACAGGAAUACUAAUUUGAAUGUUUUGACAGGUACAUUAAUCUGCAAGCAUAAUUAUGAAAAUAUAUAACUAAUGUAAGGCGGGGCAAAUCUGAAAAUGAAAUCAAUAUUAAUUUGCCAAUUUUGUCAGUGAUAAUUUUCCUGAAUUGUUAAGAUAAUUGGGCUAAUGAUAUAUACUAGGUAAUUAUUUUUCCUCAUUAUUGAUAUUUGUGUUAAAUUUAUCUAAUUUGCAAAGAGUAAAUAUUUGCCAGAAUAAUGGUUGUGUGUCAGUCUCAACAAGAGGUUUAACUUGAUAUAAUCUAUAAAUA